CACCGGUGUGGUGUGAAUUUACUGUGCAAGAGAAACCAUAUGCAAAACGAAUUGUUAAUUAAAGCAAACCAUGUUUUUAACACUGUUACACUACCCAAAACCAUGGCUUAAGGGUAGAGCUACAGAUGCUUACAAUCGAGUAGUCAUCAAAUGCAGGACCGACAAUUAUUUCGCAGAUUAACGUGAACUAACGCAACAUGUGUUUGAUGGUCACUCUAUCCUUUGCCCCGAUUUGGCUGUAGUCUACUACUUUGUAUGCUUGCAGUUGCAGAUCUCCUUUCACAAAUAACAAAAUAUUAUUAUAAAAACCCUAAACCCAACGCAACUGACAAUCCCUUAACUAAAUAUGAAACAAUACAAUACCUCCGGUCGAUUGGUCCCCAGAGGCCAUCUCUCCUUGAAAGGAAUACCAAACUGAGUCGCAUACCUCAAACUGUCUUCAAUUGAGAUAUCGCAGUCUGGUUUCAUUUUUCCCAUAUUCAAUAGCUUAUCAUAUCUCUCAACCUCAUCCCUCAGCAUCAGGACUUGAAAGCCCUCUCCCUGAAAACCCAAAGCGAUACUCUCGAGAGAGAAUAUGUGACUCUCUUCGGUGCUAAUAGAAUAUUGCACGGAAACCGCAGCGCAUAUAGCAGUCGACACACAGAAGAAUUAAACAAGGAAUUUCUUUAAGUGUGUGUGUGUGUGUAUAUAUAUAUAUAUAUAUAUAUAUAUAUAGCAUCAAUGGAAUUAAGUGCCCGAAAGGAAAGGAGAGAUGGCAAGCUGCCAUAGCACCUCAAAAUUGAAGAGGUGAGUGUCAAAAGCUUUGGGAGAUUUAUUCAUAAUAUCAUACACAAGCUUUAAUUUCGAAUUGAUCAGUGUUGUGUUUUGGUGGUUUAAGCCUAUAGGAAGCUUUAACUCAACGAACUAAAAGACUAAUCUCUUCCACGUUCCAACACAAUUAAAAACGUCAUCAGUCAAAAUGCAAAUGUAGCAUAAACGUACAUACCAUAAAGUUGUAGAAUGUUUAAAACCAAAAUGUAGCAUAAACGGACAUACCACAAAGUUGUAAAAGGUUUAAAACCGAAAUCUAGUGUAUACUACGUACUAAAACCCAAAUGUACUCAUCUUAUACAAAACUAAACGUAUCAUAUACCCCAAAUAACUAGAUAGACAAGCAAAAGUAACUCAAAGCAUGUUCAUAAAAAAACAAACCUAUAAAUAUAUAUAAGCAGAAAAGGAAUAUACGUACAAAAAACGUAUAAUUUUGUGAAUUAAUUAUUGAAAACUUAUCAAUUAAUGUAUAUAUAUUUUUGGACAAAACUUACCCAUAUAGUUUAGAAUGAAUGGAAGUUUAGUCUAAAAACAGAGAGAAUGAACUAGUUAACUCCAAUUAUUUCAUGAAAAUAAGGGGUUUUGAAAUUACUUACGUCUUAGUAUGUGUUGAACGGCAGGAAGAACACCCACUUCAUUUCUCCAGUCUACAGUAUCAACACUCUUGUGUUUCUCCCACCAUUCUUCUAAGCUAUUAUGCCAUUGGUGGUUUGGUAUUGCUGUGGUUUUAAAAAAAAAAUUGUUUCUGCGGUGCUGUGAGAAUAAGUAACUAUGAAAUAAAGUAUCAGAUUGUUUAGUAAAUUUUUUUAUAAAAGUGCUUUUGAAAAAAAAACAGUAUUAUAAUGUUUGAUAAAUUUUUAUGUAAAACAGAUGUGAAAAAAAACUAGUUUUUCAAAGCUGGGUUUUGCAGCUUUGUGUUUUUGGUUUUUUUCACCCAAAACUAUGAUAAAAAACUGAAGCUGAAAUGUUUACCAAACAUAAAAAAACUCCUAACUUUUUUUUAUGAUCAUUUUCUUAAUAAUAACCUCAGUACCAAACUAGGCGUGUUAAAGCUGGAAUUCUGCCAUCCUUCCCAUAUACCGUCUCCUGCAAAUGAAAUUUAAAAAAUAAUUUUAAAUACCACAGCCCCAUCGAUCUCAACCCCAUACAGAAACUUUAUGGUUUUAUUUUCUGGUAUUUUGGGUGCACAAGCGGAUGAAUCGAACGGGCACGAUUACUUGAAACAAUAAAUUAAUCGACAAUAUUUUAAAAAAAAUGAAAUGCACAGAUAAAGAGACGUUACUUUUGUGCUGCGGUGAACUUCGGCGGCGCCAUUUUUGGCCUGAUCGAGUGGGUUUGGAGGUUUUUUGGGUUUUCUUUCUCUCUCUAGCUUUCUCUCUCGAUCACGCAGAGAUAGAGAUGAUAUGGGUUGUAGAAUUUCUGGGUUGGGUUUACUCUCUCUCUCCAUCACGCAGAGAUAGAGAGAUGAUAUGGGUUGUAGAAUUUCUGGGUUGGGUUUUCUCUCUCUCUCUUUCUCAUUCUCUCUCAUUUUUCUCUCUUCAGUAAUAACCUGGUUUAUACUCUCUCUCUCGCGAGCUGGAUUUAAUUUAUAUUUUUUUUUCUCUCUCUCAUGCAGUUCGGAUGGAUUUUCAAUUUCUUUUCAAAAAAACUUGUUUCUCUAAACACGAUUUGCCAUUUUAGUGAAAACCACGGUUUUAGAGCUCUGCAGGCUAAUACGCUGGGUUUUAUAGCCU
rnacentral:lncRNA from 1 species